UCAUGUGUGCUAUUUUUUUAGGCUUCCAAACAGUUACCUCCUUGUUGGAUGUUGCAAUGGUGAAACUACCCAUAGGAACAACAAUGGAAUCACUUUGGCAUUUGCAAUACAAGGUUGCCUCUUCCAGGCAGGAUCCGUGGGAAUCGAUGGUAAUAUUCAGCGAGACUUCUCUGCACCAACUGGAGAAGAAUAGGUUGGACAAAUCGAUUCUGCCAAAAGUCAUGCAAGUCAAGCACUUUGGUCGCAGUGGAAGAACUAAAUGGACUCACCUUGUUAAUGAGGAUACAACAGAUUGGAGUAACCAGUGGACUUCUAAUGAUGUUUU